AUGCUUUACACAUGCAAGUCGGACGGCAGCACAGAGAAGCUUGCUUCUUGGGUGGCGAGUGGCGAACGGGUGAGUAACAUAUCGGAACGUACCGAGCAGUGGGGGAUAACUAAUCGAAAGAUUAGCUAAUACCGCAUAUCUUCUGAGGAAGAAAGCAGGGGACCAUUUGGCCUUGCGCUGUUUGAGCGGCCGAUAUCUGAUUAGCUAGUUGGUGGGGUAAAGGCCUACCAAGGCGACGAUCAGUAGCGGGUCUGAGAGGAUGAUCCGCCACACUGGGACUGAGACACGGCCCAGACUCCUACGGGAGGCAGCAGUGGGGAAUUUUGGACAAUGGGCGCAAGCCUGAUCCAGCCAUGCCGCGUGUCUGAAGAAGGCCUUCGGGUUGUAAAGGACUUUUGUCAGGGAAGAAAAGGGCGGGGUUAAUACCCCUGUCUGAUGACGGUACCUGAAGAAUAAGCACCGGCUAACUACGUGCCAGCAGCCGCGGUAAUACGUAGGGUGCGAGCGUUAAUCGGAAUUACUGGGCGUAAAGCGGGCGCAGACGGUUACUUAAGCAGGAUGUGAAAUCCCCGGGCUCAACCUGGGAUCUGCGUUCUGAACUGGGUGACUAGAGUGUGUCAGAGGGAGGUAGAAUUCCACGUGUAGCAGUGAAAUGCGUAGAGAUGUGGAGGAAUACCGAUGGCGAAGGCAGCCUCCUGGGAUAACACUGACGUUCGUGCCCGAAAGCGUGGGUAGCAAACAGGAUUAGAUACCCUGGUAGUCCACGCCCUAAACGACGUCGAUUAGCUGUUGGGCAGCAUGACUGCUUAGUAGUGAAGCUAACGCGUGAAAUCGACCGCCUGGGGGGUACGGUCGCAAGAUUAAAACUCAAAGGAAUUGACGGGGACCCGCACAAGCGGUGGAUGAUGUG
rnacentral:rRNA from 1 species